rnacentral:rRNA from 1 species
AACAGGAUUAGAUACCCUGGUAGUCCACGCCGUAAACGAUGUCGACUUGGAGGUUGUGCCCUUGAGGCGUGGCUUCCGGAGCUAACGCGUUAAGUCGACCGCCUGGGGAGUACGGCCGCAAGGUUAAAACUCAAAUGAAUUGACGGGGGCCCGCACAAGCGGUGGAGCAUGUGGUUCAAUUCGAUGCAACGCGAAGAACCUUACCUACUCUUGACAUCCAGAGAACUUAGCAGAGAUGCUUUGGUGCCUUCGGGAACUCUGAGACAGGUGCUGCAUGGCUGUCGUCAGCUCGUGUUGUGAAAUGUUGGGUUAAGUCCCGCAACGAGCGCAACCCUUAUCCUUUGUUGCCAGCGGUUAGGCCGGGAACUCAAAGGAGACUGCCAGUGAUAAACUGGAGGAAGGUGGGGAUGACGUCAAGUCAUCAUGGCCCUUACGAGUAGGGCUACACACGUGCUACAAUGGCAUAUACAAAGAGAAGCGACCUCGCGAGAGCAAGCGGACCUCAUAAAGUAUGUCGUAGUCCGGAUUGGAGUCUGCAACUCGGCUCCAUGAAGUCGGAAUCGCUAGUAAUCGUGGAUCAGAAUGCCACGGUGAAUACGUUCCCGGGCCUUGUACACACCGCCCGUCACACCAUGGGAGUGGGUUGCAAAAGAAGUAGGUAGCUUAACCUUCGGGAGGGCGCUUACCACUUUGUGAUUCAUGACUGGGGUGAAGUCGUAACAAGGUAACC